CGGAAUUGCUAGUAAUCGCGGAUCAGCAUGCCGCGGUGAAUACGUUCCCGGGCCUUGUACACACCGCCCGUCACACCAUGGGAGUCGGUAACACCCGAAGCCUGUAGGUCUAACCGCAAGGGGGACGCAGUCGAAGGUGGGAUUGAUGACUGGGGUGAAGUCGUAACAAGGUAGC
rnacentral:rRNA from 1 species